rnacentral:rRNA from 1 species
UACAGAGGUGGCAAGCGUUGUUCGGAAUUACUGGGCGUAAAGGGCGCGUAGGCGGUUGGAUAAGUCAGCUGUGAAAACCACGGGCUUAACUCGUGGCCUGCAGUUGAGACUGUCUGGCUUGAGUGUGGGAGAGGAGAGUGGAAUUCCUGGUGUAGCGGUGAAAUGCGUAGAUAUCAGGAGGAACACCGGUGGCGAAGGCGGCUCUCUGGACCACAACUGACGCUGAGGCGCGAAAGCGUGGGGAGCGAACAGG